rnacentral:rRNA from 1 species
UACGGAGGGUGCAAACGUUGCUCGGAAUCAUUGGGCGUAAAGCGCACGUAGGCGGUCUGUUAAGUCGGAUGUGAAAGCCCCGGGCUCAACCCGGGAAGUGCAUACGAAACUGGCGGACUUGAAUAUGGAAGAGGGUCGCGGAAUUCCCGGUGUAGCGGUGAAAUGCGCAGAUAUCAGGAGGAACACCGGUGGCGAAGGCGGGUCUCUGGGCCGAUACUGACGCUGAGGAGCGAAAGCGUGGGGAGCGAACAGG